rnacentral:lncRNA from 1 species
UAGCAGAUAAUUAGGUUCUGUCUCACAGGUUCAUUUUCCUGUGACUGGGACGUGAAUAUGACCUACAGCUGGCCUCAAUUUCAGUGUCACAGACAAAACUUUAACCCUUCCUAGUCUUGUCACUACUGUACCGACUGCUGCUGGCGGUCGUUGCAAACGUUUUCCCUGCAGUGUUCAACACAGCACACCCUAGUGAAUCCUCGGGGCUCGUUUCCCAGGUUAUGCUAAUCCCGAGCUAGGAGGGAGAUGGCCAAGCUUGCAUUCACAUGGUACGCUGGAUGGGGAAAAGAGUAUCGUUAGCACCAAAUGAAUAUUGAUUGUCUGGUAUGUAGAUUUGCCGGAAAGUAAUUGCUUGGAGUCAAGGAAUCUGUUGGGGAUGAUCUGUGUUUGGACACCUGAGCCUCUGCAGAACAUGACUGAUUGUGCUGUUCUUUCAAGGACCUACUCAAAGAAGGAGGCUGCCUGAUUUAUUUGUGGAAACCUGAUGAUAGAACUUGGACAAACAGGAAGGUAAGGAAAUCUCUCUGCUCUUAAUCCUAGGAGCAAGACAAAUAUAAUCCAUAGUUCAAGCAACAUUUGUCUCUAAUAAUUGUCCUACAAUGGGAAGGGACGUUGCCCAAACUGUACGCAACAUUAAUGAAGAAAGAGUCAGAAAAGUAGAAAAGGUAUAUUCAGUCCUUUGAGAUAUAGCUGUGUAAAAGUUAGCCUAAAUGGAAAACAGAAACUACAUAUUGCUACAUAACUUUUUUUAAUGAUUGUAGCUUAGCCAAGU